GUGGCCAUUGUAGCUAGGACAUCGUUAAAUAUACUGCGGCAGUUUACGCUAUCCAUGUGUUUUGCGACGGUGAAUGAACAAUUCGCGCUGAACUGACGGAAACGUCACGGUAUACUCAAGAGUGAGGCUCAAAGUGUCCGUCAGAUUCGACAGAUCUUCGGUUUUGAAGUGGCGAAUGACGUAGGAGUAUUGGCAAAUCUGUAUCAUGGUGGUGGCGACUAUCCAAAUAUAACGACAGAACGUGCACAGCGCAUCCGGCCACAGCCCGACGUACCAAAGAACGAGCUCCAUCGAGAUGGAGAAGUCGCUUAAGGACAACUUUAUUUUCUCUCGCAAAUCAAACUAAACAACAAUUAACAAUUCGACAAAAAAGUCACUCAAAAAGGCACAAAAAAGUACUCAACGUGUCAAUGACUUCAAUGUCGCGAAGCCACGAAUUAUUAUAGCGUCAACAGCAUUGGAGAGGCUUUGUAAAAGGCUUUGUAAAACGACUGUACAGAGGCAAGUUGAACACGCAAGCGGUCGACGACUAAAUGCAGCCAUAGUAAGAUAAUCACCGGUCAAUUUUCUGAGACCGUGAGUUAUGGUGCAACACACGAAGCGCUGAGAAUUAAAGUUGCAGCAAUCGAGCGGUGAUUAUACGAUCGAGGAGUUAUAUGGCCGUGAUCGUAUCCACCGCGGUCUUAACAUUGUCUCAUUAUAUCGCAAAAAAUCGUAAUAACGGAACAAAUUAGCAACGUGAAAAAUGCAGAGGAGACAAUUUCUCCACGUAAGUGUUGCACGAGUGGGUGCACAAAAGAUCGCAGAUGACAGAAUACAAGUUCUCAUAACAAAGUCUCAAGCUGGUUGAACGCUCACUGUUACCACCAAAAAACCGGUGACAUACAUAAUCAUUGUGCUCGGAAAGAAUUGCAUUAGCAUGAUAUUGCUGAAGAAGUUCUUGAUGCUGCCCAAGGAAGGAAUGAAUUUAUAGUGCUUACUAAUUAAGAAUCUCGAGACAACUGUGGGUAAGUAGUAGCUCUGUUCCUUUGGCGUGGAUCUCGUCCAACUACAGAUGCAUGAUAUUUAACUGUUGAUAAUCAGUUAUAUAUGGUGUUAAACUGAUGUAUUGAGAAAAAAGAAUGCAAAAGGGAGAUUAAGAUUUUGUUAAAAAUUAUCAAACAAAUUUUCACGCUGUUUUAAGCAGUUUUUACGUUAUGUAAACUGCAGUUCCAGAUAAAAUAAAAACUUUCUCCUAACGACCUGAAAAUUAUCUUCACUUAAUUAUUAUAUAACACACGAAAAACAGUAUAAGUUAGGAAAUUGUUAUCUCUCUGUAUAAAAUUGGUAUGUGUGUGUCUACGCAAGCAGCUAUCGUGUGGAAACAGAAGUAGUUUAUUAUAAAAUACGG